GCAAGUCGAGCGGAGAGAGGUAGCUUGCUACUGAUCUUAGCGGCGGACGGGUGCAGUAAUGCUUAGGAAUCUGCCUAUUAGUGGGGGACAACAUUUCGAAAGGAAUGCUAAUACCGCAUACGUCCUACGGGAGAAAGCAGGGGAUCUUCGGACCUUGCGCUAAUAGAUGAGCCUAAGUCGGAUUAGCUAGUUGGUGGGGUAAAGGCCUACCAAGGCGACGAUCUGUAGCGGGUCUGAGAGGAUGAUCCGCCACACUGGGACUGAGACACGGCCCAGACUCCUACGGGAGGCAGCAGUGGGGAAUAUUGGACAAUGGGCGCAAGCCUGAUCCAGCCAUGCCGCGUGUGUGAAGAAGGCCUUAUGGUUGUAAAGCACUUUAAGCGAGGAGGAGGCUACUUUAGAUAAUACCUAGAGAUAGUGGACGUUACUCGCAGAAUAAGCACCGGCUAACUCUGUGCCAGCAGCCGCGGUAAUACAGAGGGUGCAAGCGUUAAUCGGAUUUACUGGGCGUAAAGCGCGCGUAGGCGGCUAAUUAAGUCAAAUGUGAAAUCCCCGAGCUUAACUUGGGAAUUGCAUUCGAUACUGGUUAGCUAGAGUGUGGGAGA
rnacentral:rRNA from 1 species